rnacentral:lncRNA from 1 species
UCCACAUACAUUUCAUAAUUUUGUUAAAAAUUUUUACUCAUUAAUGCUUUUCUUGAUCGAUUCAUAAUUUUGUUAAAAAAUUUUACUUAUUAAUGCUUUUCUUGAUCGAUACAAGGAGCUAGGUAACUUUCCACCACAUUGAAACUUAGCUGUUGGGUUUUUGUGGCCAUUAAAGACUUUAUGAGAGCUUUGAUACCAACUGAAAGUUGGACUAUUCAACCCAAGCAAGUGUAUACCAAGUAAAAAGUUUUCUUUUUCUUAUUUGCACUACCUGGAUUACUUACAGAUGUCCAAAUACAUAAUAAGAAACAACAAAAAUACUAUGAAUCUCAAAGACUCCCACUUACUGUCACUUUAAUAAUUGUUUUAUUAUACAAAUAAAAUUGCAUACA